ACUCAAAUCGAUCACCCAAGCGACCAUCGCUCAGCAACUUACAUAUGUAUGUAUGUAUGUCCCUCAGCGUGUGGCCAAGGUCUAAGAGAUUAUUCCUGCGUAUAAUAAAUAUGUAUAUAUAUACAGACUUACAUACUUGUUUUUCGAUCAAUCGCUUCAACGGCAAUUAGAUGCAUAUUAACAUAAAUAGGCAGACUCCGGUUUUCGCUAACUUUUGCGUGUUAUUUUUUUAAGUGCUUAAUUUUUCACAAAUACAUAUGUAUGUAUUUGCUAUCGACAUGUUUCAUUUUCGCUAGCUGCGGGAUAUAUGUACAUAGCUGUCUUUACCCAGAUGAUCUGUUACGCCCUUGUUACGAGCACAACUUCUGCUGGUGUCGCACGGGCCACUUGACGGGAGGAAAAUGUUUCCGUUUUGAGAAGGGGAGCACCCACUUACAUAUGUGAUUGACAGAAUUUUUGUGAAAGUAAAACCCGGAGCCUGCCUGAAAAUUUGCGAUUCAGUGAGCCAAAAUUUAUGAUUCUGACUUAAAUAUGUACAUAUGUAUGUAUGUAAAAUGUAUACCAAUCUUUAUGGUUGGCAACAUGUGGCACAAAAUAAUAAUACCCUCUGCAAGAGUAUAAGCAAAAUACAAUUUACGCAUACAUACAUAUAUGUAUGUACAUAUGCCUGAAUUUUGUAUGGCCCGGGCCCCUAUCGGGGUCUUAUAUGAGCAUGCAUGGAAAAUCUGGGGUUGUACUUUCGAAUAGGUAUAAUUAUACAUGUGUAGAUACAUAUGUACUAUACAAAUAUGGUCCCUUCCGCCGAAUGGUCAACCAGGACCGAUAAUCAUGUUGAUAAUUAUCGGAUUUUCGUAUGUGUGAUUAUAAGAAAUGUAUACAAUUCUAAAAAAAUAAAAUAAAGGAAUUUGUAUAUUUAAUUUGGUAUACAUGAAAAAAAUACAUA